GAUGAACGCUGGCGGCAUGCCUAAUACACGCAAGUCGAACGAGAGGAAGGAAAGCUUGCUUUUCUGAAUCUAGUGGCGAACGGGUGAGUAACACGUAGGUAACCUGCCCAUGUGCCCGGGAUAACUUCUGGAAACGGAUGUUAAAACCGGAUAGGUAGCAGACAAGCAUUUGACUGCUAUUAAAGUGGCUAAGGCCAUGAACAUGGAUGGACCUGCGGUGCAUUAGCUAGUUGGUGAGGUAACGGCCCACCAAGGCGACGAUGCAUAGCCGGCCUGAGAGGGCGGACGGCCACAUUGGGACUGAGACACGGCCCAAACUCCUACGGGAGGCAGCAGUAGGGAAUUUUCGUCAAUGGGGGGAACCCUGAACGAGCAAUGCCGCGUGAGUGAGGAAGGUCUUCGGAUCGUAAAGCUCUGUUGUAAGAGAAAAACGACAUUCAUAGGGAAUGAUGAGUGAGUGAUGGUAUCUUACCAGAAAGUCACGGCUAACUACGUGCCAGCAGCCGCCGUAA
rnacentral:rRNA from 1 species